rnacentral:rRNA from 1 species
UAGCUUGUUGGUGAGGUAAUGGCUCACCAAGGCGACGAUCGGUAGCUGGUCUGAGAGGAUGGCCAGCCACACUGGGACUGAGACACGGCCCAGACUCCUACGGGAGGCAGCAGUGGGGAAUAUUGGACAAUGGGGGAAACCCUGAUCCAGCAAUGCCGCGUGUGUGAAGAAGGCCUGAGGGUUGUAAAGCACUUUCAGUGGGGAGGAGGAUUAACAGGUUAAGAGCUGGUUAAUUGGACGUUACCCACAGAAGAAGCACCGGCUAACUCCGUGCCAGCAGCCGCGGUAAUACGGGGGGUGCGAGCGUUAAUCGGAAUUACUGGGCGUAAAGGGUGCGUAGGUGGUUUAAUAAGUUAUCUGUGAAAGCCCUGGGCUCAACCUGGGAAGGUCAGAUAAGACUGUUAGACUAGAGUAUAGGAGAGGGUAGUGGAAUUUCCGGUGUAGCGGUGAAAUGCGUAGAGAUCGGAAGGAACACCAGUGGCGAAGGCGGCUACCUGGCCUAAUACUGACACUGAGGCACGAAAGCGUGGGGAGCAAACAGGAUUGGAUACCCUGGUAGUCCACGCCGUAAACGAUGUCAACUAGCUGUUGGUCAUAUAAAUAUGAUUAGUGGCGC